rnacentral:rRNA from 1 species
UACGUAGGGGGCAAGCGUUGUCCGGAUUUAUUGGGCGUAAAGAGCGUGUAGGCGGUCAGGUAGGUCCGUUGUGAAAACUCGAGGCUCAACCUCGAGACGCCGAUGGAAACCAUCUGACUAGAGUCCGGAAGAGGAGAGUAGAAUUCCUGGUGUAGCGGUGGAAUGCGUAGAGAUCCGGAAGAACACCGGUGGCGAAGGCGGCCUGCUGGGCAGUAGCUGACGCUGAGGCGCGACAGCGUGGGGAGCAAACAGG